rnacentral:rRNA from 1 species
UACGUAGGCAGCAAGCGUUGUUCGGAAUUACUGGGCGUAAAGCGUGCGCAGGCGGUGGCUCAAGCCAGGCGUGAAAUCCCCGGGCUUAACCUGGGAAUGGCGUUUGGGACUGGGUCGCUAGAGUGUGGCAGAGGGAGGUGGAAUUCCACGUGUAGCAGUGAAAUGCGUAGAGAUGUGGAGGAACACCGAUGGCGAAGGCAGCCUCCUGGGCCAGCACUGACGCUCAUGCACGAAAGCGUGGGGAGCAAACAGG